rnacentral:rRNA from 1 species
UGAGUAAUCUGCCCUUCACUUUGGGAUAGCUCCCGGAAACGGGGAUUAAUACCGGAUAUGACCACUCCAGGCAUCUGGUGGUGGUGGAAAGUUUUUUCGGUGGGGGAUGUGCUCGCGGCCUAUCAGCUUGUUGGUGGGGUAAUGGCCUACCAAGGCGACGACGGGUAGCCGGCCUGAGAGGGCGACCGGCCACACUGGGACUGAGACACGGCCCAGACUCCUACGGGA